UACGGGGGAUGCAAGCGUUAUCCGGAAUGAUUGGGCGUAAAGCGUCUGUAGGUGGCUUCCCCAGUCAACUGUCAAAAAUCAGGGCUUAACCUUGAGCCGGCAGUUGAAACUAGGAAGCUUGAGUUAGGUAGGGGCAGAGGGAAUUCCUAGUGUAGCGGUGAAAUGCGUAGAUAUUAGGAAGAACACCAAUCGCGAAAGCACUCUGCUGGGCCAUGACUGACACUCAGAGACGAAAGCUAGGGGAGCGAAUGGG
rnacentral:rRNA from 1 species